AGUGAACGCUGGCGGUAGGCCUAACACAUGCAAGUCGAACGGCAGCACAGGAGAGCUUGCUCUCUGUGUGGCGAGUGGCGGACGGGUGAGGAAUACAUCGGAAUCUACUCUGUCGUGGGGGAUAACGUAGGGAAACUUACGCUAAUACCGCAUACGACCUACGGGUGAAAGCAGGGGACCUUCGGGCCUUGCGCGAUUGAAUGAGCCGAUGUCGGAUUAGCUAGUUGGCGGGGCAAAGGCCCACCAAGGCGACGAUCCGUAGCUGGUCUGAGAGGAUGAUCAGCCACACUGGAACUGAGACACGGUCCAGACUCCUACGGGAGGCAGCAGUGGGGAAUAUUGGACAAUGGGCGCAAGCCUGAUCCAGCCAUACCGCGUGGGUGAAGAAGGCCUUCGGGUUGUAAAGCCCUUUUGUUGGGAAAGAAAUCCAGCUGGCUAAUACCCGGUUGGGAUGACGGUACCCAAAGAAUAAGCACCGGCUAACUUCGUGCCAGCAGCCGCCGUAA
rnacentral:rRNA from 1 species